UACGAAGGGGGCAAGCGUUGUUCGGAAUCACUGGGCGUAAAGGGCGUGUAGGCGGUCCGCUAAGUCUGAUGUGAAAGCCCGGGGCUCACCCCCGGAAGGGCAUUGGAAACUGGCGGACUCGAGUCCCGGAGAGGAAGGUGGAAUUCCUGGUGUAGCGGUGAAAUGCGUAGAUAUCAGGAGGAAUACCGGUGGCGAAGGCGGCCUUCUGGACGGUGACUGACGCUGAGACGCGAAAGCGUGGGGAGCAAACAGG
rnacentral:rRNA from 1 species